CCUACGGGUGGCAGCAGUGGGGAAUAUUGGACAAUGGGGGCAACCCUGAUCCAGCCAUGCCGCGUGUGUGAAGAAGGCCCUCGGGUUGUAAAGCACUUUCAGUGAGGAAGAACGCCUGGUGGUUAAUACCCAUCAGGAAAGACAUCACUCACAGAAGAAGCACCGGCUAACUCCGUGCCAGCAGCCGCGGUAAUACGGAGGGUGCGAGCGUUAAUCGGAAUUACUGGGCGUAAAGCGCGCGUAGGUGGCUUGAUAAGCCGGUUGUGAAAGCCCCGGGCUCAACCUGGAACGGCAUCCGGAACUGUCAAGCUAGAGUGCAGGAGAGGAAGGUAGAAUUCCCGGUGUAGCGGUGAAAUGCGUAGAGAUCGGGAGGAAUACCAGUGGCGAAGGCGGCCUUCUGGACUGACACUGACACUGAGGUGCGAAAGCGUGGGUAGCAAACAGGAUUAGAUACCCGGGUAGUC
rnacentral:rRNA from 1 species